AAAAAGCCGGGAUAGCUCAGUUGGUAGAGCAGAGGACUGAAA
rnacentral:tRNA from 1 species